GACGAACGCUGGCGGCGUGCCUAAUACAUGCAAGUAGAACGCAGUUGCGAACGGGUGAGUAACGCGUAGGUAACUGCCCCAUAGCGGGGGAUAACUAUUGGAAACGAUAGCUAAUACCGCAUACUGUGGGAUGGACCUGCGUUGAAUUGGCUAGUUGGUGAGGUAAAGGCUCACCAGGGCGACGAUACAUAGCCGACCUGGGAGGGUGAUCGGGCACACUGGGACUGUGACACGGCCCAGACUCCUACGGGAGGCAGCGGUAGGGAAUCGUCGGCAAUGGACGGAAGUCUGACCGAGCAACGCCGCGUGAGUGAAGAAGGUUUUCGGGUCGUAGAGCUCUGUUGUUAUUGAAGCGGUACCUAACCAGAAAGGGACGGCUAACUACGUGCCAGCAGCCGCGGUAAUAC
rnacentral:rRNA from 1 species